rnacentral:rRNA from 1 species
UGAGGAAUAUUGGUCAAUGGGCGAGAGCCUGAACCAGCCAUGUCGCGUGAAGGAAGAAUGUCCUAUGGAUUGUAAACUUCUUUUAUACAGGAAUAAAGUGCACUACGUGUAGUGUUUUGUAUGUACUGUAUGAAUAAGGAUCGGCUAACUCCGUGCCAGCAGCCGCGGUAAUACGGAGGAUCCAAGCGUUAUCCGGAUUUAUUGGGUUUAAAGGGUGCGUAGGCGGGCUAAUAAGUCAGUGGUGAAAGUU